UGCCCUAUCUCUAUUAUAAAAUAUCGUUGCUAUUUCAACUUCAUAGUAGAGGACAAGGCGCGAGCUAUACCCACACACAUCGAUCUCGCGGGGCGCUCAAGGUGCAAACAGUCGCGACUGUGCCGCAGUGACGAACGGACGGUGUACUAUUUUUUAGAAACCGCGCGGUUUUUUCACCAGAAACAAGUUCAGAACAUAUUUAAUAUGGCGACUAGGAAAUAUUGUGCUGUUUUUGGAUGCAUGAUUUCGUCAUUAUCGCAUCCAGAGAUGACUUUUUUUAAAUUACCAGGAAAUCCUGAAAGACGACUUCAAUGGUUACGACUAAUCCAUCGAGAUGAUUUGAAAAACAAGUCUAAGUUUACUUCCUACCAAGUUUGUGAAAAACAUUUUAUUUUGGGGGAUAUACUACACUCGCCAUUUAGAAAAGUUUUAAUAAAGAAGGCCCUACCAAUGUUGAUGCUGCCAAACUUACCUAAUAGCAAUAAAGAAGACUGUAUAAAAGAAGACAAACAAACGCAAACUGAUCCGUUAGUAGAUAAUGAAAAUGCAACGAAAGAAAUCUUCACUCAAACCUCGAAAAGUCUCUUUAUCAACAGCCCAAGGGAGAGAAAAUUGAAAGCUGAGCUCCUCCAAUGCAGAAAGAAAAUAAAAUUACUCGAAAAUACAAAUAAAACAAAAAAAGCUGAACAAAAAACUUUCCAUCAACUUUGCGAUAAAUUUUUGAACGACAAACUAGCUCUAAUAAUAAAAGCCCAGAGUAAACUAAAACAACAUGGAACAGGAAAUCGAUAUAGUAAGGACUACAUCACUUACUGUUUAGAUUUACACAACAUCAGUCCACAAGCAUACCGGUUUUUGCAAAAUGCGUUAUGUUUACCCUGUCCUUCAACAUUCACCAAUUACAAACGAAAUCAAUGAAAGAGGAAAAGAGCACGGCACUACGGCAGUUCGCGCUCGGCACUCGUUGAGUGUGGUCGCGCGCUAGCUAUAGCUGUGUGUAUAGUGGGAAUUUUCACACUGUUACUUUCGCGAUAAUGUAAACGCCAAUACGCCAUUAAUAAUAUAUAAUGAAAUACUCAUUUCAUUAUUCAUCUUCACAGCAGUCGGAACUUAAAUAAACCAGUAGCGGGUAACAGCGUCUCCCUUCAAGUUUAUCAUCCAAAAUAGCAUUUUGUACUUUUGUUGUAUUUUAAAUUAAAAUAAAACAUUGAAUACUGA